GCAGGAGUCUGCCAAUCCCAGCUCGAGUUUGAGCCUGCUCGUACUAUAGAGCCACACUGAGGUCUCUGCGCGCAUCGCCUCGCACACUGUUGGGACCUGGGAUAAAUCACAAGGGGAGGAAGCCGUGAAGAUCUGAUACGGUGUCGAUUUGCCAAGACAGCACGGACUCUGGUUAAUUCCUUCAGGUGGCACGAGCCUCCCGCACGGGUCUAUCCGGACCGCACUGCAGCCUGGCUUUGCUCUCCCGCCUGUCAAACCAAAAAUCCCGAGUAUAGCCAACGCGCGUACCUGAACGGACAAGAGGGUUUGUUUGGUUCAUGGUGUUUUCAACUGGAUUAUCACUUUCGAUAGAUACAAACAAGUGGCCAGCCGCCACCGGAGUCAAACCCAGGGAUUACAGUUGUUUGUAAAGCCUUGGUUGCGCGUGCAGCGUCUGCAUGCGCGCCUCCUUUUCAAAUAAGAGAGCAACGUGCUGAUAAACCCACUCCACCUGGACUUUCGACCUGAGGAAGGAGCUUCUUGGUGAACUGCAGUUGACAGGAGCGGCACCGACCGAAUUGCUACUGGGAAACUGAGAAUCCUGCGAAAAUGCCUCUCGCUCAGAUCGCUGAGCCAUGGCCCACCAUGGAACUAGUGCAGCUCGAAACGGAGAAUGGGCAGAGCACUACUGAGGAUGGAGUCACGCCUGCUGUCAAGGGUGAUAGAAUCUGAAGAGCGAGGUCCUCCUUUCUUCCAGCUCAGAACAAUGUGUGGCGACUGAGAGAGAGUUGAGUGCGCUGGAUGAGAAAUAAGUGUUUCAGUAAAAGGAGUCGGCACACUUUGUUGAUCAAAGCCAUUCAUAUCUGAUGGAAAUUUCUGAUGACUUUGGAGAAUCGACAGUAUGGUUGAGAUCAAUAGCACAGUAUCAAUGUCUAAACAUAUAUUAAAUGCCUAAUGAAAGUAAAAUCAAUGUUAAAAACAAAGUA